GAUGAACGCUAGCGGGAGGCCUAACACAUGCAAGCCGAGCGGUAUUGUUUCUUCGGAAAUGAGAGAGUGGCGUACGGGUGCGGAACACGUGUGCAGCCUGCCUUUAUCUGGGGGAUAGCCUUUCGAAAGGAAGAUUAAUACUCCAUAAUAUAUUGAACGGCAUCGUUUAAUAUUGAAAGCUCCGGCGGAUAGAGAUGGGCACGCGCAAGAUUAGCUAGUUGGUGAGGUAACGGCUCACCAAGGCGAUGAUCUUUAGGGGGCCUGAGAGGGUGAUCCCCCACACUGGUACUGAGACACGGACCAGACUCCUACGGGAGGCAACAGUGAGGAAUAUUGGUCAAUGGGUGCAAGCCUGAACCAGCCAUCCCGCGUGAAGGACGACUGCCCUAUGGGUUGUAAACUUCUUUUGUAUAGGGAUAAACCUACCCUCGAGAGGGUAGCUGAAGGUACUAUACGAAUAAGCACCGGCUAACUCCGUGCCAGCCGCCGCAGUAA
rnacentral:rRNA from 1 species